GAGAACUGCUGUUGGCAGCAGGGUUGAGCAGGGCCCUGGGUGUGUGGUGGCCUUGUCCCAUGUUUGUGAAUGUCAUCUUGUUGCAGGUCUACAUUCAAAACAAGGUCCAGAAGCAGGAAUCACAUUAAAUAAAUAUAUAGCGAGCUGCAGUGUCACAACAAGUAGAUGUACAAUUACGGAGACAAAAUACCCCAAGGAAAUCAACACAAGGCUUAUUAAUAUCCAGGCCUGCAGAAGACAACUGUCAGACAAUUGGUCAACAAGUGUGUAUGGCACUGGGUAGGCAGCAAGGAUUCAGAAGGAUCCACUGAAGUAAAUCAGGUCUUUAAUCAGCAACAGACCCUCAGCAGCUGUGCCCAAGACAGUAACAAGAAUCCCAAAUUCCGGGUCAUGGUGUCUGACUCUAAAACCGAGUUACCUGACUGCAUUUCAACAUCUAGCAAUGUUUUUGUCAAGAAAUGGGUGAGAAAAACUUUUAGCCCCCUUUCUAAAACACCCGUCACAGACUCUAAUCUUGGAAAGGGAUUUGUUGCAUAUAAAGGCUGCAAAAGUGUUGGUCUGCAAAGAUCUGUAUUUUCUGACUCAUGUUUUAACAGAGUUGUAAUGGCUUCAUCUUGGCCAUUGGCAAAAUUACCAAAGGUAUGUAACCCUGGCAAUUAAGAGUAGACAGGAAAUGUGGACUGUCAUUUUCUAACUCUUCUAAAUUGUCUGGUCUUCAGUGUAAUAGCA